AUGUGUGAAAGGAUGUUAAAAGAAUUUUGCCAACCUAAUGCUAAAUGGACGAUUGUCAAUGAGAAACCACUGAGGAUUAAGACUAGGAAGAUGUGCUUGAUACCAAGGGCAUCAACAUAUUUUAUUGUGAAAACAUCAGAAUCCAUUUCCAACCAAUCUAAGUUCAUUGUGAAGAGGUGCCACCCUUUGAUGGCAAUUUUAAAUCAAGAGCCUAUAAAUGUUGGGUUGUAG